rnacentral:rRNA from 1 species
GACGAACGCUGGCGGCGUGCUUAACACAUGCAAGUCGAACGAUGAAGGAGGAGCUUGCUCCUCUGGAGUAGUGGCGAACGGGUGAGUAACACGUCAGCAAUCUGCCCUUGACUCUGGGCUAAGCGCUGGAAACGGCGUCUAAUACCGGCUACGACCCUCGGCGGCAUCGUGUUGCGACUAACAACACGGUGGUUGAGGCUGAGCAUGCUUCUGAUUAGUUAGUUGGCGGGGUAACGGCCCACCAAGACGAUGAUCAGUAGGGGAACUGAGAGGUUGAUCCCCCACACUGGCACUGGGAUACGGGCCAGACUCCUACGGGAGGCAGCAGUAGGGAAUCUUCCGCAAUGGACGCAAGUCUGACGGAGCAACGCCGCGUGAGUGAUGAAGGUUUUCGGAUCGUAAAGCUCUGUUGCCAGGGAAGAACGCCCAGGAGAGUAACUGCUCCUGGGGUGACGGUACCUGAGAAGAAAGCCCCGGCUAACUACGUGCCAGCCGCCGCAGUAAGAC